UCACAAUUAAACAGUCUUUUCUUUAUUUACAAUUUCAGUAAUUUUGAAAAUUUGAUUAUUUUGUGGGU